rnacentral:rRNA from 1 species
GCUUGUCUCAAAGAUUAAGCCAUGCAAGUCUAUGUAUAAAUCUUUAUACGGUGAAACUGCGAAUGGCUCAUUAUAUCAGUUAUCGUUUAUUUGAUAAUCACUGCUACUUGGAUAACUGUAGUAAUUCUAGAGCUAAUACAUGCUAUCAAGCCCGACUUCUUGAAGGGUUGUAUUUAUUAGACUUAAGCCAAUAUUCCUUGUGUCUAUUGCGAUGAUUCAUAAUAACUGAUCGAAUCUCAAAUUUGAGAUAAAUCAUUCAAGUUUCUGCCCUAUCAGCUUUCGAUGGUAGUGUAUUGGACUACCAUGGCAGUAACGGGUAACGAAGAAUUAGGGUUCGAUUUCGGAGAGGGAGCAUGAGAAACGGCUACCACAUCUAAGGAAGGCAGCAGG